rnacentral:rRNA from 1 species
GGGUCAGUAGGUUGGUCGUGCCACCGGUACGUACUGGUCUCACUGAUUCCUCCUUCCUGAAGAACCGUAAUGCUAUUAAUUUGGUGUUGCGGGGAAACAGGACUGUUACUUUGAAAAAAUUAGAGUGUUUAAAGCAAGCUAACGCUUGAAUACAUUAGCAUGGAAUAAUGAAAUAGGACGAUCGAUCCUAUUUUGUUGGCUUCUAGGAUUGACGUA